CGCAGAACCGUGAUGUCAUCAGAUUUUUGAACGCAACUGGCGCUAGCUGGGUCUCCAGACCGCAUGCUCUGUUUCAGUGUCUUUUGUUCUCCUUACCCAGGACGCAAUGCGAGAGAUACCCUUCUCUUGUCAAGCAUGAAAGCACUCUGCGCUCUGCGAGCGGCUCCUGGACUCGUUCGGGUGUCGCACUCAUUGCAGCCGUCACAUUGCUAACACUGUGAACUCAUUGAGAGCACAGGCUGUGCAGCUCACGCUGCCAGUGCUUAGUCACUUAAACUUACUUUGCAUCUGAAAUCAAGCAGGAUCACCCGCUGAACUUCGCCGUAUCCUUCAUCGGUGG
rnacentral:rRNA from 1 species